rnacentral:lncRNA from 11 species
CUGAAAAGUGGGGCCUGCUCGGAUCUGUGCAGGGAUUGCCUGGGUCUUCUCCUGACGUCACAGCCAGGAAGUGGAGAUCCCUGUGGCAGGAAGAAGAACAGCGAUGGUUGGUCAGUUCAGACCCCGUCUGUUGCAGAGAUGCCCAUGUGGAGGCUGUGGAACAAAGGGAAGUGGUGACGUGGGCUAUUUUUGAAUCAUGCUGUUCCACCAACCACAGCCUUUCCAAAAUGGGUCUUUCCCCACCAAUCCCAUUGCUAAGAAAUGAUGGCCGACUAAAGCAGUAAUCCUUCAUAACAGGAAUGGGAAACCUUCUGCUAGAGUGAAUAAACAUCCAAAACCCUACAUGGGCCAGAUGAUGUU